UGGGCGGGGUUCUGGCCGUGUGGUUGUGGCGAGCCGGCGCCCCAGGCCUCCCACCCGGACCCCCGCGCGCACCCAGGACUAGGGAGACUGGGGGCGCGUGGCUCCGGGGCCGCCCGCACGGGGCGGAUCCGGGCCGAGGGCUUUGACCGCGGUCGCCGGCCUCAGGUAACCGCGCCUCCCGCCCCCUACCUCACCCCGCCCGCCGCCGCCGCCGCCCUAUAUGUGGCCCGACGCAGCCGCCGGGCCAUGGAGCACGCCUGCCGUCACCCACCAUGGAGCUGGCCGAGCGGUUCCUGCUGGACGCGCUCGCCUACCUGGAAUGCGCCCUGGGCGUCGUGUGCUACGUGCUGCUGAAGCUGGUGGGCUCGCCCUACGGGCGCUACGCGUCGCCCGGCUCUGCCUUCGAGCUGCCGGCGCGGGCCGCCUGGGCCGUGCAGGAGCUGCCCUCGUUGGCCCUGCCGCUCCUCGCGUGCGCGGGCGCGCCGGCCGAGCGCCUCAACCGCUGGCCCAACUGCAUCCUCCUGGCCAUGUUCCUCGUCCACUAUGCGCAACGGACCUUGGUUUUCCCAUUUCUCAUCCGAGGAGGGAAGCCCACGCCGUUGUACGCCUUCCUGUUGGCAUUCAUCUUCUGCACCUAUAAUGGCUACCUGCAGAGCAGGUAUCUGAGUCAGUACGCAGUGUACGCGGAUGACUGGCUCAGCGACCCCCGGUUUCUAACAGGUUCUGCCUUAUGGUUGAUAGGCAUGCUGAUUAACAUCCACUCAGAUCAUGUCCUGAGGAACCUCAGGAAACCAGGGGAGACUGGCUAUAAAAUACCAAGAGGGGGCUUGUUUGAAUACAUAUCUGCAGCCAACUACUUCGGAGAAGUCGUGGAGUGGUGCGGCUACGCCCUUGCCAGCUGGUCCAUUCAGGGCUGGGCUUUCGCUGUGUUCACCUUCUGUGUCCUGUUCACCAGGGCUCAGCAACAUCACAAGUGGUACCAUGAGAAAUUUGAAGAUUAUCCAAAAUUCAGAAAAAUCAUGAUUCCGUUUUUGGUUUAAGUUUGCCGUCAGUGGGAUUAUCUUUGACUUGAAGCUUUUCGAUGAUGUUUCUCUCGGGACUUUGAAGCUUUUCGAUGAUGUUUCUCCUGGGACCAUGUAAAUGAACUGGCGUCUCUGUCAUUUUUCUGGUACUUCAUCUGUUUUAAGAUUUGCUCUAGGAUUUUUUUUCCCUAGCAGGUGUGUAAGCUGCCUAAUAACAGUCUAAUCAAGCUGAAAUCACAAGACUGAAGUAUGACGCUGCCCACCAACCAGAGCUGGGAACUGGAACAGGGGUGAGUGGAGAGAGUUCCUGUUCGCUUACGAUUGCUGACCGUGCUGAGUGACGGGACUCCAAGACGCACGACGUGGUGUCUUAAGCAUUCUUCAGCUGCUGCCUCCUGGCAGGAAGCAUGCCCUCUGGCCCCUGCUCUCCGGGCCCCUGGGCACCCCAUCGGGUCAGCACCCCUCUCCCCUUCUCCUGGCUCACCUUCCCCACUAGCGGCUCCCUCCCCAUGAGUGUUCAUGUAGAAACUGUGUUCUUGGUGUUAGCAGUUUGUUACAGUCUCUUGGGGUUUUCGAAAAGCUUUUCCUGAUGUGGUUGUCCUUCAUUUUAACUAAAACUGGAAUGCUUUUGCAGGGAACUUUUAUGAUCAGAUAAAAUCUGUGCUUCAUUCUAACUAAAACUGGAAUGCUCUUGCAGGGAAACUUUAUGAUCAAAUAAACUUUGAACCUUUUUCUGAGUGAAUAACAACUUGACACUAUGAAACAGUGAAUAUUUAGAGUGUCGUCUGGAAAACUCAAAUCUGAGCAAGCCUUCACUGAUUUGGGCCCUGGGUCCUGGAAGGCGUACCUGGCCAAGAAGAGGCUUGUCUGAAAGGCAGAGAGGCCUGCUGGGGACUCUGCAUCUGUUGGCGCUGCUUUUUCGAGUGAUCCAGAAUUUGGAGUUCAGUGGGGAUUCCACGCGCAGCCCCUGCUUCGCUGGCAUGCAGUGUCUGACGCAGGAAGAGAUCUCAGUUUGUCUCAUCUGCCUGUCUUCCAAUUACUAGACACUGUAACGUAGCAAAUUAUGACAUUAUUGUGUUCAUUAUAAGAAUAAAGGAGAUUAAUAAAAUUAA